UCAGCAUACUGCCGUGAAUACGUUCCCGGGCCUUGUACACACCGCCCGUCACACCAUGAGAGUUGGGAAUACCCGAAGCCUGUGAGCUAACAUUUAUGAGGCAGCAGUCGAAGGUAGAAUCAAUGAUUGGGGUGAAGUCGUAACAAGGUACC
rnacentral:rRNA from 1 species